UACGAAGGGUGCAAGCGUUACUCGGAAUUACUGGGCGUAAAGGGUGCGUAGGCGGUUGUUUAAGUCUGUCGUGAAAUCCCCGGGCUCAACCUGGGAAUGGCGAUGGAUACUGGGCAGCUAGAGUGUGUCAGAGGAUGGUGGAAUUCCCGGUGUAGCGGUGAAAUGCGUAGAGAUCGGGAGGAACACCAGUGGCGAAGGCGGCCAUCUGGGACAACACUGACGCUGAAGCACGAAAGCGUGGGGAGCAAACAGG
rnacentral:rRNA from 1 species